rnacentral:rRNA from 1 species
AGCGAACGCUGGCGGCAGGCUUAACACAUGCAAGUCGAGCGGGCACCUUCGGGUGUCAGCGGCAGACGGGUGCGUAACACGUGGGAACGUACCCUUCGGUUCGGAAUAACGCUGGGAAACUAGCGCUAAUACCGGAUACGCCCUUAUGGGGAAAGGUUUACUGCCGAAGGAUCGGCCCGCGUCUGAUUAGCUAGUUGGUGGGGUAACGGCCUACCAAGGCGACGAUCAGUAGCUGGUCUGAGAGGAUGAUCAGCCACACUGGGACUGAGAUACGGCCCAGACUCCUACGGGAAGCAGCAGUGGGGAAUAUUGGACAAUGGGCGCAAGCCUGAUCCAGCCAUGCCGCGUGAGUGAUGAAGGCCUUAGGGUUGUAAAGCUCUUUUGUCCGGGACGAUAAUGACGGUACCGGAAGAAUAAGCCCCGGCUAACUUCGUG